GCCAGGAGAGAAGGGGAAGGUGGCUAACCCGGGCCGUGCGCCCCCCGGGGGGCCCAGCCCUCUGCACUGCACCAAGUCUCUAGACGCAGGGGAUGGCUGGUGCCCACGCGCAGGCGCUCGAGCACGCGGUCUUCCUGUGACGCUCACCUUCGCUGUGACCCGAAAUCUGAGAACCAUAGGCAACUACUCACCUCUGCAUAUAUUUGGUACAUAUUUUGUAUACAUGUCUGUAAGUACUUAUAUUUUCAUAUUCAUGUUACCCUUUGUCUUUAAAUGAAAAAUGUUAAAUGCAUAACAUUGACUUUCUUGGCUUUCAUCUUUGCCUUGCGUUGGCUUUGAUACCUUCUAAAGAGUGUGAGGUUUAGGAAAUGAUGAUAUAGUGAAGGUGAAAAUACAUGGAGCGACUGGUUCUGACACAAGACGAAGCACUUUCUGUAUAUCACAUUUCUUCCUUAUUGCCCCUCAUGGGGUGCAUACAAGUAUUAUUGCCCCACAGAUAAGAGAUCUGAUAUUCACAGAGCUUGAUUGACUUGCCAAUGUUCCACAGAGGGUAAAGGGAAAGUCAGGAUUCAAAUUAAGUUCUGUCUCCUUCAACAGACUUUAAAUCUAUUGAGAGAAAACAUGUUACUCUUUUAACUCCUAGGGGUGAAGUUAUGCCUUUAUUCAGUAUAACCUUGAUUUUGUUAUUCUAGAAAAACUCUCCCUCUGCUCAGUAUGAGAAUAUUUUCCUUGUAGGGGUAGUCUUCAGAGGCCAAUCUGUUUCUUCUUUCUUUUUCUUAACUGCUUGUUCAUAAAGACUACAAUGAACAUAUUACUAAUAUUUAAUGUUGAGUUGUGGUUGUCUCUUCUUAAGGAAAAUAUAGAAGUAUAUUAGCUUCGCUGAAGUUUUUAGGACCUGAAUAGACAUAUUUAGAUUCUUCGAUGCUCAAACAGUCCAAAUAACUGAGAGAAUACAGAUGUCUGAUAAGAAAAGGAACAAAUGCUGGGUUCACUUUGACAACGGCAGCACAGAGGACUGAAAAUUUGAGCAGCGAGAGGCUUCAUGACCCACCUAAAAAAGGAAGUUGCUACUUCCAAACUCGUUCUAUGAGACCAGCAUUACUUUGAUCUGAAAACCAGUCAAAGACCUCGCCAAAAUGGAGAAUUACAGACCAAUAUCCCUGAUGAACAUGGAUGCAAAAAUUCUCACCAAGAUACUAGCCAAAAGGAUCCAAAGGUACAUUGGAAGAGGAUAUUCGCCAAGACCAUAGCCUAUGCAGAUUAUUAAAAUGGAACAC
rnacentral:lncRNA from 12 species